AUUUUAUUUACUUUUCUCUGUAUUUUUAUUUUGAUGAAAAAGCUUUUGAAGUUAAAGUAAAUUUUUAAUUUAACCUUUAGAAAAAAUAAAUCUUUAGAAAGUGUUUAGUAUUAUACAGUUUCAUAUUAAAUUAAACGUUGUUAAUAGUAAACAUAAUUUUAGAUUUUGAGUUGAAAGUUUUUUAUAUUGCUAAAUAUGUAUUUUAAAUCUAAUAGAACGGCAAUUGCAAUUUUUAAAAUUGAAAUUGCAUUGUAAAUAUACCCUAACAUCGAAAUUGACAAAUGUUUUAUUUUU
rnacentral:misc_RNA from 1 species